GCCUGGCUUCCUGGGGGAGGAGGGGAGGGAGGGUCCUUUGCAGGACACCCAGCGGGGAGCAGACCUCCUUCCCGGGGGGCAGCCAGCCCUGUCUGUCUGUCUCUGUGGUGGGGUGAGGGGGAGCUGCAGGCAGACAGGCCAGGCCCGCAGCAGCCCCGUCGGGCCUGAUCUGUGGUACCAGCACCUCUUCUGCCUGCAUCUUCACUGAGUUACCUGAGGGCUGGGGGAGGAGAUAGCGAUCAGCCGGAAUACCAGAGGCGUGAGGCACGCAUGACCUCACCCAGGGUGUGCCGGCUCUCUGCGCCACGUCAGGCCACCCUCCCCGCUGCUCCCAGGCACCUCCAGGCCAGUUUAGACAACAAGCUCCAGCCAGCAGUGCCGGGGUGCCCCUACGUGCUUGGCUGGGUCUCGGCCAGGGCUCAGGCCACCUCUUCUGGGAACAGCCUAUAGGUCUCUAAGGGGACCCCAGCCCCCUCCAGCUCCCUGGGGGCUGGGGUGUUUGGGGGAGGGGCAGGGAGGGAGGGCUGGGGCUGGAGAAAGCCAUUCACGACUGACAUUGAGAGCUAGACCAGUGGUCCAGGAAGAAGGGAAGUUGAUACUCUCCAGGGACCCAGGGAGCUUAGAGACCCGUCCCAGCUUGGGAUAGAGUUGAGGACCAGGAAGGUCCCGCAGAAGCACCCACUGUGUGCCAGGCAGUGUGCUAGCAGGAGCUGAUUUGAAAACCAAAGCCAGAAGAGCCUGGAAGAGACCAUGGGAAGUGUUCACCAUGCCAAACAUACUAAAACACCUCUUGGUAACUUCAGAUGGAGCCCAGAGAUUCACACCAUGUUUACAGGAACUUUGUGGCCAGACCACCUGUGAACAGCUGUAAGAACAAAGGAUUCCUGAGCUAAGAAGUUUGCAACAACCAGACACACCCCCUUUCCUUUUAGCAGAAAAGAAGCCUGAAUUCUAACUCAGGGAAGAUGGUUCUUUGGGAUGCUAGUCCACCAUCUUCUUGGUCUGUUGGCUUUCUGAAUAAAGUCGCUAUUUCUUGCCCCAA